GUGUUUGUUUUGGCAGCACAAAUACUAAAACUGCAACCAUCAGAGAAGAUUAGUGUGGCCCUGUGCAAGGUUGGCAGCCAAAUUUAUGACACUAUGUAUGUAUGU